rnacentral:miRNA from 14 species
GCAUUUAUCUACUAUCUAUUGGUUCUUCCCAAAUUCAGCAGCAGCAGCAACAGCAGCAGCAGCAGCAGCAGCAGCAGCAGCAGCAGCAGCAGCAGCAACAGC